rnacentral:rRNA from 1 species
ACGAACGCUGGCGGCGUGCCUAACACAUGCAAGUCGAACGGAGCUGAAGAGCUUGCUUUCAGCUUAGUGGCGGACGGGUGAGUAACGCGUGAGUAACCUGCCUCUGAGAGUGGAAUAACGUUUUGAAAAGAACGCUAAUACCGCAUAACAUAAUUGAGUCGCAUGGCUUGAUUAUCAAAGAUUUUAUCGCUCGGAGAUGGACUCGCGUCCGAUUAGUUAGUUGGUGAGGUAACGGCUCACCAAGACCGCGAUCGGUAGCCGGACUGAGAGGUUGAUCGGCCACAUUGGGACUGAGACACGGCCCAGACUCCUACGGGAGGCAGCAGUGGGGGAUAUUGCGCAAUGGGGGCAAACCCCUGACGCAGCAACGCCGCGUGAAGGAUGAAGGUUUUCGGAUUGUAAACUUCUUUUAUCAGGGACGAAAUUUGACGGUACCUGAAGAAUAAGCUCCGGCUAACUACGUGCCAGCCGCCGC